rnacentral:rRNA from 1 species
UAUGACGGGNUAUCCGGCCUGAGAGGGUGAUCGGACACACUGGAACUGAGACACGGNUCCAGACUCCUACGGGAGGCAGCAGUAGGGAAUAUUGCUCAAUGGGCGAAAGCCUGAAGCANCAACGCCGCGUGGAGGAUGAAGGUUUUAGGAUUGUAAACUCCUUUUGUUAGAGAAGAUUAUGACGGUAUCUAACGAAUAAGCACCGGCUAACUCCGUGCCAGCAGCCGCGGUAAUACGGAGGGUGCAAGCGUUACUCGGAAUCACUGGGCGUAAAGAGUGCGUAGGCGGGAAGGUAAGUCAGACNUGAAAUCCUGNAGCUUAACUACAGAACUGCAUUUGNAAACUACUUUUCCUAGAGUGUGGGNANAAGUAGGUGGAAU